rnacentral:rRNA from 1 species
UGAGUAACCUGCCCUUAACUCUGGGAUAAGCCUGGGAAACUGGGUCUAAUACCGGAUAUGACUCCUCAUCGCAUGGGUGGGGGGUGGAAAGCUUUUUGUGGUUUUGGAUGGACUCGCGGCCUAUCAGCUUGUUGGUGAGGUAAUGGCUCACCAAGGCGACGACGGGUAGCCGGCCUGAGAGGGUGACCCGGCCACACUGGGACUGAGACACCGGCCCAGACCUCCGUACGGGAGGCAG